AAUCUCUUAGAAAUAAGAGAGUGCCUCAUUAGAGGAGCCUGGUGACAGGUGCUGCAUGGCUGUCGUCAGCUCGUGUCGUGAGAUGUUGGGUUAAGUCCCGCAACGAGCGCAACCCUUGCCUUUAGUUGCCAUCAUUAAGUUGGGCACUCUAGAGGGACUGCCGGUGUCAAACCGGAGGAAGGUGGGGAUGACGUCAAGUCCUCAUGGCCUUUAUGACCAGGGCUACACACGUACUACAAUGGCAUGUACAAAGGGCAGCCACUUCGCAAGAAGGAGCGAAUCCUUAAAACAUGUCUCAGUCCGGAUUGGAGUCUGCAACUCGACUCCAUGAAGUUGGAAUCGCUAGUAAUCGUAGAUCAGCAUGCUACGGUGAAUACGUUCCCGGGCCUUGUACACACCGCCCGUCACACCACGGGAGUUGGUUGUACCAGAAGUAGUUGAGCGAACCUUCGGGACGCAGACUACCAAGGUAUGGCUGGUAACUGGGGUGAAGUCGUAACAAGGUA
rnacentral:rRNA from 1 species